GAAGAAAAAAAAAAUAGACCAAAUUAAGCCACAUGGGUGGUCUCGUCCCCGGCGUCAUCUCCAAUCUCAGACUCAAAAAAGUCUUCUUCAAACCUCCAAAAGAACACAACUUUGGACCAGAUUCGACAAAACAACGUUAAAUAGAAGUGGCAAAGUUGGCACAUUUUGUGGAUUUAGGAAGUGGUUUGUGGCCGAAGAGUGAUCGGAGAUCAGAGGGGAUCUGGGUCGGAAAGUGUCUGAAAAUCGAAAACUGGAAAUGGUUUUGAUUAGAGUGUAUGUGAGUGGAUAAACACAAUGAUGAUGGCGUCGAUUUUAAGAGCGACGAGGAUCUCGUCGACGACAACGGCGACGAUUUUGACCGGCUGGCCGCCGAGUAGGUGCUGGGUAAUGCAGAGGAGAGCUUUCGACUGGUAGAUGUCGUCGUCGGAAUUGAAGAACAAACCCCCAGACAAGUAGCGUCGUCGGUAUAGGGCAUAGUUUGUGGUGUGAACAGGUAUUUGCUACAACAGUUAUCUGCAAGAAUUUGGAUGUGGCUUCAAGGGUUGCUCGUACUUAUGGUCUGGAUUGCAUAACACUAGAAGGUUGGCCUAGUUCUUUUCAUUGUCGGUAACACUGCAUAACACUGUUUUUCCCUGACAAAUUGUCUGACUUAUUACUGGCGAUAAAGUAAUUAAGCAAGAAUGGUAGUAUGACUAGAGGAUUUUAUGAUCACAGACGAUCAAGAUUGAAGUUCAUGAAUAUCAUUAAGCAGAACGAAGACAAAAUUCACAUUAGAGAAAAGGAAUUGGAGAAAGUUAGAUUUAAUCUACAAAAUUCACCUGUGAUUUACGGCAUUUUACAUUUACAGUGGUUCUUUUGGGGUCUAUUAUCUAGGGGCUUCUUUUAUAAGAGAGCCUCAAUUUGUUUUAGACCCGAACUAUUCCUUGUCGAGAAACAAUUUCCUCCAUGGUUGUCAAUUCACAGGUGGUGUAACUUCGGACAAGCUUAUUAGGAGGUGGAAGAUCCUUUGGUGCUCAGUUGUUUGGAACACAUGGAUAGCUAGAAAUUCCUGCAUUUUUAGAGACCAAGCUUUUGACAGAAAAGUCCUAAUGCAAAACAUCAUGUUCCACACGUGGUGUUCGCGUUAAGGUUUGCUAGAAAAGAUUUUGAAGCAUCCUUCCCACAAUGGUCAUCAUAGCCGAAGUUGUUCCUUUGGGAUUGUGUAACCUAGAGCCAUAAAUUAUGGUAGAGCUGUAUGAGGGCCACGUUGAUGAUAUUCGAUGAUAUGAAGAGUGCUUGCGGAUGCUUGUUCAUUAGGAACGGUGAAGAGAAUAUGAUAUUCUGUUAUAUGGGACAGCUAGUUGUACUAUGUUUUUUCUCUUUUAUCUGUGGGUUAUGUUGAAUUUAUAGGUUCAUAAGUACCCUUAAACUCUCUAUAACCCUUGUCUUUGUUUGUUGUUUGUAUCUAUGGGUUUAGGUAACUCUUGUGCGUGUGUGUAUAUAUAUAGGUUUUGUUAAUAUAUAUAUUCUUAUUUUUUCAGUA